CCUACGGGAGGCAGCAGUGAGGAAUAUUGCGCAAUGGGGGAAACCCUGACGCAGCGACGCCGCGUGGAUGAUGAAGGCCUUCGGGUCGUAAAAUCCUGUCAGAUGGGAAGAAAUGGUAAUGGAUUAAUUCUCCGUUACUUUGACGGUACCAUCAAAGGAAGCACCGGCUAACUCCGUGCCAGCAGCCGCGGUAA
rnacentral:rRNA from 1 species